ACAUGCCUACAUCAUAGCGUUAAUGCAUUGGAUCUCAUUAAAACUAUGCAGUUAAGCAUGCUCAAGCUAGAGUAGUACUGGGAUGGGUUACCGCCUGUUGGCGCAGGACAAUUU
rnacentral:rRNA from 1 species